UAACGAUCAAAAAUUACGUUUUACAAUACGUUGCAUUUGAUGAAUCAUGUAUUAGCUAGUCGAUUGCUUGCCUAACUGACCAAGCUUUCGUGGCUAUCAUAUUUGUAACAAUUUGCACAUCUUGCUCAUGUUGCAAAAAUGCAGCCCGAUCUCUUAUCGUUAGCUAGCUGUUUGUCAUAGUAGCUAUCUUGCCAUUGUGUUACCUUAUUUGUUGGUAAAUUGUUACAUUGGCUUCGUUAUCGUUUCAGAUUUCGUAACUGCACAAAAAAGACCACAAGUCAUGGGUUAAACACAUAGAUAAAACACUGGCAAAUGAACACACAUUAAUAACGACCCACCGGGGGAAAUGCAGUAUUACGACUUCCACUACUGACGUGACAGUAACAGCCAGCUAGCUUGCUGGGGCGAAAAAUGGACGAUUCUUUUCAAAUGGAAAUGUAGCCGUCUUUAUUUGUAGCCAGCUAACAUUGCAAACUACCUGGUGGAAAAUACCGAUGAAAGGAGACACCCUUGAUCGGUUUUCUCUCAAUAUAUUUUCCCUUCCAUCGCCUGUUCCCUCAACAAUUACCAAUGUAUUUAACAUAUGAUUUAAUAGCGUUCUCCCUAAAGCGAACCGCCACAUAGCACGAUAUUCUUAUGUCAUAAAAACGGAAUUCCAUUCCUUUCAAUACAAAUAUAACGACUAUACAGGACUGCACACAUAUGGAGCAGACAAGACGUCUCGGUCUCCCUGCCCAGCCAGCAGCAAGUCCGACUGUUCUUUGCAAGAACACAAUGAUGAAAACCACUUUUUAAAAUCACUACCAGUAGCUCCGCGAGCCAGGGCGCUUCAGUGACGUAAGGAUCACGGUGCGCGUUCACGCCACAAACCCCCACCACCGCCACGCAAGAGUCGCCCGGUUCCUGAAGCCCAUACGGACGCCAUACUGAGAAGGUCCAUUCUCCCACAGCAAAAUAACGGAAAUCGGGAUGAAUCGCCUGCUCUAAAUAUCCUUUGCCACCUUCGUCUAUUUCCUUCAUCUUCUUUGAAAUUAACCGCAAACUAUCCUGCUACUAUUAAACAUGGGUAGCGAAUUAUA